CAUGUCAUCACUUCAUUUUUUUGCGCCUGCGCAUAAAUCUGAGAAACGUGAGUUUGUCAUAAUUUUUUAUCUAGACAUAGGAUAGGUUGUGUGAAAAUAUUACUGAUGUUUAACGUUAAAAAUGGACCAAAAGAUUAAUGCUAAACAACAUUUGACAUGUUUGAACGAACAUAAAUAGAUUAUUUACUAGGUUUUUUUAUCUUUUCGGCGUGAUUUUACCAGCCCCCACCACGUUUUGUGGGAGCAUAAUGAACGCUAAGUACUUGGUGUUAUUUGGACAUAAAUUAUGAACUUUGUCAAAAGAAACCACAUUUGUUCCGGACCUGGAAUGCCUUCCGGACCUGGGAUCCUGCCCUCUGAUGGAGAUAAUCAAAGCCUCUUUGAAAAUCGAACAAUGUGGUUAGAUU
rnacentral:lncRNA from 1 species